UACAGAGACUGCAAGCGUUAUUCGGAUUCACUGGGCGUAAAGGGUGCGUAGGUGGUCGUUUAAGUCCGUUGUGAAAUCCCUGGGCUCAACCUGGGAAUGGCAGUGGAUACUGGACGGCUAGAAUGCGGUAGAGGGUAGUGGAAUUCCCGGUGUAGCAGUGAAAUGCGUAGAGAUCGGGAGGAACACCAGUGGCGAAGGCGGCUACCUGGACCAGCAUUGACACUCAAGCACGAAAGCGUGGGGAGCAAACAGG
rnacentral:rRNA from 1 species